AAUCCCAAGUGACUUACAGAAAAAGUUAUUUUUUUCUUCCCAAACAUAAGGCCAGCAGUUUAACUGCUGGUUCCAAAAUACGAAUUCCCUAAGAUCCUGGGCAUUCCUAUUGACGAACAACUGAACUGGACCAGCUGUAUUAAAUAGGCUAGAAGAACAGAUGGGAUUCUGUCUCCACAUGGACUGUGCAGUGGUCAUUCCUAACAAUACUGUGAUUGCUGGAAGUAAAUCACAAGUCAACCAAGCCACUGUCAAAAAGGAAACUGGGCAACAUCCUCUGACUAACCUGCAGGACUGAGAACCUUCAGGCAAAUGCUCAGUUACCACGGUCAGUGCUAUUGAAAUCACUACUUUAACAGAUAAUGUUGAACUGACACAGAAAAAGCUAUGAAUGGCACUCCACACUCACAGAGGAGAUGCAGCAGUCUUCAAAUUAAGUGGAGAUGCUGCCAGACCUGAUGAAUAUUUCAAUGAUUUUGGCUUUUGAAUAUCAUCUACAAGCUGGACUGCAGGAACUCAUCAAGCCUCUGUCAAUAGCACCACUCAAACCUAUGGCCUGUGUCACCUGGAAGGGCAAGUGCUUCAGAUACAUGGGAGCAGCGUCACCUGCAGGAUCCCCCCCCCCAAGUCACAGAACAUCCUGACCUGGAAAUAGAUCACCAUUCCUUUAGUGUCACAGGGUCAAAAUCCUGCAACUUCCUUUCAAAUGGAUCAGGGGUAUAUCCGCAGUAUAAGGACCACAGCGGUUCAAGAAGGCUAUUCACCACCACUUUCUAAAGGCAAUUAGGGAUAGCCAAUAAAUGCUGGCCUAGCCAGCAAUGUCAAUAUCCUAUGAAUGAAUAAUUUAAAGGGACCAAGUUGUCUUGUUCAUGAGUAUUUCAUCCAAUGAGCAGAGUCUGUCUGUUUGGUUGAAGUAUGGAGAGAGAAAGAACAAAAAAAAUGUGGGGGGAGAUCAAGUUGAUCAUAGAGUCAUACGGUCAUACG